UCGCUUCAGCAGGACGAGGAGGUGAAUGAAGGUGAUAGUGAGGACACAGACCUGCAGAUUUUCUGUGUAUCUUGUAGUCAUCCUGUCAAUCCAAAAGUGGCACUGAGACACAUGGAGAGAUGUUAUGCAAAGGUGAUUUUACUUUACUUGACUUUACUUUUUUUUUUAAGAGGCUUCAGGUUUUGUGUCCAGAACAUUCCAGAGAUCCCAAGGUCCCAGUUGAUGAGGUGUGUGGUUGUCCUCUUGUGAAGAAUGUGUUUGAGCUCACAGGAGAAUACUGCAGAGUCUCAAAAAGGAAAUGCAACAAACAUUACAACUGGGAAAAGCUUCGGAGAGCAGAGGUGGACUUGGAGCGUGUCAGAGUGGGAACAAAUGGUCAAACAGAGGCAUUUGACAACU